GAUCCUCCUAAGAGGAGAGGAGCAGAAUCUCCCCGAUUUUUCCGCUCGCGGCGACGGCGCGACGGCGCGGCUCACCAGUCCCCAUGGCGGCGCGGCGGCUCCGUUCGCCGGAGGAGCGUGCAGCGUGCUAGCGCCGCGUGCUGCUUCGUCGAACGGCGCCGACCACGUUGCGGUCGCAUGGGCUUUUCUUGUGCGGAGCAGAGGGGACAAGGCGAUGGUGGCGCGCCGGACUUGAGGAAGGUGGCGGCGGCGUGAAUGGCAACAGCGGCCGUUCGCGCCGUCGCCCGUAAGGAUGGCACCGGUCAUUUCCAACAUCACCUGCAAGCUUUCUCCGAUGAGAUGACGGAGGUACGGCGACGGCGCCCUCGCACAGCGAGCUGUGUGGAACCCCGAACGGGAGCCGUCGACGCGGCCACAUCAGGCGAGGUCCGAAUUCCUGAAAGCUUUUGGGAAAUGCUACGUUAUUAAAGUUCGGGAUUUGGGGGGAGAAUUAGGGUCAGGCUUUCUGCAUUUGAGGGAUUUGGGAAUUCUUGAGGGCUUCUGAUUUUGCCAAUCACUCACUUCUUCUUAUUUCUUAGCCGACCCAAGUGAGAGCCUCAAUUAAUGCCAAUUGCAUCUAACAGGAACACGUAACUCCUGAACAUGAUGUACAAUUAGGGUGAUAACAUGAUCAUUAGGGUCAACAGACAGCAAUCUGAUCUAAUCCUUAAACUUAACCAGAAUCGGCAGAGCCCAUGCCUGCACCAUGGGGACUCCAACAGAGAGGAGAUGGCUAGAGAAGAUGAGCAUCAGGGGCGUAGACUGGAGCAGCGCAGCCAUUGAGAUGGGUGGCAUAGACAAUGGCACCAGAUAUGCAAUCUUAGUAUUUACCCAAGUAAUAAUUCAGCGAUGUCUAGCACUGAGGCGUAAAGUUGUCGCUUCGAGUCGUACUGAAAAAUGAGAGUUUCCUUUAUACAGAUUGGUUUUUUCAAUAAAAUCUUUGGUUUUUGUAUGAUGUGUAUGACAACGGCAAGAAUUAUUGGUGUAGGAUUCGACAUGCAGUUUGCUGGAGUUGAUCCUGCGAUCUCGCGGUUUCCGCACUAGACUGUUAGCCUCGCCGCAACAUUUGGAAGAAGGCAAUCUGGAUCCAAAUGAAUCACAUAUUUGCAAGAGAAGGGAAGAUGAAAACUAAUUCCAAUGUCCGACGAGAUGAAUCCGCGUGGUAUGUGACACUAGAGGAUGUCCAAGUGAACAGGGUUCCAACAAUGACGAGCGCAAGGGGACCUUUCGGUGAUCAUCCUAACGGUGUGGUAAAUCGAGAAACAGAGCAAUGCGGCUAUCUUUGAUAAAGUGAGUUGAGCAUUGUCAGCAUGCUUGACACGAUCAAGGCCGAGGCCAGAUUGGGGUGGGGGGCCUCGAAGAGGUACUGUCUGCGGUGCCUACUUUGGGUUUGUGGCCUCUCAUACAUACAACUAUUUCUUCUAGAGACGCAGGGCUUUUGCGCUUUCUCAAAGAAAGAAAAGACAAUCACCGAGGCAUGUAUGAAAUGAAAUUAUGUAAGGAAGAAAUUCCUGUUAACUGUUGGUAUUGUAUAAGUUGGUCUCUUCCA